UACAGAGGUCUCAAGCGUUGUUCGGAUUCAUUGGGCGUAAAGGGUGCGUAGGUGGCGAGGUAAGUCAGGUGUGAAAUUUCGGAGCUUAACUCCGAAACUGCAUUUGAUACUGCCUUGCUUGAGGACUGGAGAGGAGACUGGAAUUCACGGUGUAGCAGUGAAAUGCGUAGAUAUCGUGAGGAAGACCAGUGGCGAAGGCGGGUCUCUGGACAGUUCCUGACACUGAGGCACGAAGGCCAGGGGAGCAAACCGGG
rnacentral:rRNA from 1 species